rnacentral:lncRNA from 1 species
GAGGACCGUAUUCAUGGAAGAUGAUUGAACAGUAAAGAGCCCAGCAUUUGAUAAAAAUGAGAAUAUAUUGCCUCAAGCAGAAGCAGAUGAAGAUAUGGGAGAUGAAGUAGACAGUAUGUUGGAUAAAUCUGGAGUAAAGAACCUAGCAAUUGGUAAAGAUGAGAAUAUAUCGCCUCAAGUAAAAGAAGAUGAAGACAUCAGUAUGUUGGAUAAAUCUGGAGGUCUUUUCUCCUGAGAACAAGGGAUUCCAGCAUCUUCGGAUUCUGUUCUUGGAGGGGUUUGCCCCACAUCCUCUAUAUUGCAGAAAACAAUACUAGGCGCUACCUCUGUAGAUCAAGCACGACUGAAAUCCCUGCUCUCAAAAGAUGCUGGGGAGAAAGAGUGCCAUUCUUUACAAAUACUGCACCUCUUCUUGGCGAAUCCUUGCCCACCUGUACCCAGAACCCAAGUUAUGCCCAUGGAUCGAUGACCUAAGUGAGCUGCAUCAUUGGACUGAAGGUGAAUGGCCCAUGUGUUGCCACUGAUGUGAGCAAUUUGCCUGUUGUGCUUCA